rnacentral:rRNA from 1 species
CGACCGGCGCACGGGUGAGUAACACGUAUCCAACCUGCCGAUGACUCGGGGAUAGCCUUUCGAAAGAAAGAUUAAUACCCGAUGGCAUAGUUCUUCCGCAUGGUAGAACUAUUAAAGAAUUUCGGUCAUCGAUGGGGAUGCGUUCCAUUAGCUUGUUGGCGGGGUAACGGCCCACCAAGGCAUCGAUGGAUAGGGGUUCUGAGAGGAAGGUCCCCCACACUGGUACUGAGACACGGACCAGACUCCUACGGAAGGCAGCAG